rnacentral:lncRNA from 1 species
GAAAUAAUAUUAAGAAUGAGGGGUGAGUUCAACCAACUCAGUGAGGGAAUAAUAAUUAAUAUACAUUUUAGAUAUUCUUGAUAUUAAUAGUUCGCAAGAUCAUUUAUCUUGAUGUACAUAUACAUAUACAUAUCAUAUACAUACUAAACGUAUCAUCAUAACGUAGUGGACUAUAUGUCAGAGAUCAGAUGACACCCGAAGGUGACCAGAUGACACCCGAAGGUGACCAGACCAGAUGACACCCGAAGGUGACCACUGUGGGAUGAUCAGUCGCCACAGGCUGAUGCCUCUCUCACCAGCUAGGUAUACAUACAGAAUACUAUGUGCACACAGGCUAACUACUCUCCGUUAGCAUGGAGUUACUGACAAGUCCCAUAUCAAGGCAUAAUAGAUAUUCACAUAAUCAUCAAGAAAAGUAUAUCAUAUCAAAUAGGAUUUACUUUGACAGAUUGCGAGUGCAAAUUCAAGAAUAAAUGAGUACUCAGAAAAUAAGCAACAUAUAUAAUUAUUCAAGGAAUUAACGAGUUGUACUCAUUGUAUAAUCAACAUACAUAUUUACUUAUCAUAUAUGCAUAUUAAAGAUUAUUCCACUCACCCG